rnacentral:ncRNA from 2 species
ACAGUACAAACUGAGCAGGCGAUGAACUUUUGUAUAAGUUCGUGGGGCUGGGCCGACAAGGCAGCAGGUGCAUAAAACCUGUGGGACAGUA